UUCUAGUGACUUGGCGCAUUUCUCGUGCUUUGGCGCAUUUUUCGUGCCUUGGCGCAAUUCUCGUUUCUUGGCGCAUUUCUGAUGCCUUGGCGCAUUUUUCGUGCCUUGACGCAUUUCUUGUGCCAUGGCGCAUUUCUCGUGCAUUGGCGCAUUUCUGGUGCCUUG
ensembl:ncRNA Y39B6A.77 ncRNA